CAAAGAACUUUGAAGAGAGAGUUCAAAAGGACGUGAAACCACUUGCAAGUAAACAGAUGGAACCACGAAGUGUAGCUGAGAGGAGAAUUCAAUUUUACUUAAAGAACAAUUGUGGUUAUGAGUAGUGUGUAUUCUUGGCUUACUUUUCUUGAAGUAAGUUUGAGUAAAGGCAUUUGCUCUUCCACUUAUUAUUAGUGUUCUUUCUUUAGUAAAUGCAUUUUCACUCUUCUCAUGCUCGAGCCUUGUACAAUAGGGUAAUAUUUAAAGGAAAAUAUUACAUGCAAUAAAUAUGCCAUGUGAUCAGUUUGCUAGGGUUCAUUUAUUCUAAUAGAUUAAAUCUAUUUAGUUAUAAAUGUAAACUAUGCUUAUCUGUGUAAUAUAUGUAUGUUUUUUAAACAUUUCUAUAUAUUACAUCAAAACUAUUUUCCACCCUAUUGUUUAUGAAAGUUUCUCUAAGGAGAAUGCUUACAUAGAUUAAGGGUAGGAUAUCUGUUUGUCAUAUUUGUCUAUCAAUUGUUUAUUAGGAUAAUUGUAUUCAUUAAUUGAAUGAGAAUUCCUGAUUGAUAGAUGAACUGAAUAUGCAGCAGAUAAUUCUUUCUGAAACCUACCUGUAUAAUAUGCAUCAUAUUGAAUGUAUAACUGCACAUAUUAAAAUGCCUAUUAUUUUUUCUAAUAGUGUAUUUGUAUGUGUAUGUAAUAUGUUGCAUAAAAUCUAAGGCCAGUAGAUCGGUAAUCCAUCUGACCC
rnacentral:rRNA from 1 species